rnacentral:rRNA from 1 species
GACGAACGCUGGCGGCGUGCUUAACACAUGCAAGUCGAACGGAAAGGCCCUGCUUGCAGGGUACUCGAGUGGCGAACGGGUGAGUAACACGUGGGGGAUCUGCCCUGCACUUCGGGAUAAGCCUGGGAAACUGGGUCUAAUACCGGAUAGGAGCCAUUUUUAGUGUGAUGGUUGGAAAGUUUUUUCGGUGUAGGAUGAGCUCGCGGCCUAUCAGCUUGUUGGUGGGGUAAUGGCCUACCAAGGCGGCGACGGGUAGCCGGCCUGAGAGGGUGGACGGCCACAGUGGGACUGAGAUACGGACCAGACCCCUACGGCAGGCAGCAGUGGCGAAUAUUGCAAAAUGGGAGCAAGCCUGAUGCAGCGACGCCGCGUGGGGGAUGACGGCCUUCGGGUUGUAAACUCCUUUCGCUAGGGACGAAGCUUUUUGUGACGGUACCUAGAGAAGAAGCACCGGCUAACUACGUG